AUACGGAGGAUGCAGGCGUUAUCCGGAUUANNUAGGUUANAAGGGUGUCUAGGCUGCCACAUAAGUCAGGGGUGAAAGUCGGUUGCUCAACAAUCGAAUUGCCUUUGAAACUGUGUGGCUCGAGUAUAGAUGAGGUAGGCGGAAUGUGUAGUGUAGCGGUGAAAUGCAUAGAUAUUACACAGAACCCCAAUUGCGAAGGCAGCUUACCAAACUAUUACUGACGCUGAAGCACGAAAGCGUGGGUAGCGAACAGGAUUAGAUACCCUGGUAGUCCACGCCGUAAACUAUGCUCACUCGCUGUUGGCAAUAGAUCGUCAGCGGCUAAGGGAAACCGAUAAGUGAGCCACCUGGGGAGUACGAUCGCAAGAUUGAAACUCAAAGGAAUUGACGGGGGCCCGCACAAGCGGAGGAACAUGUGGUUUAAUUCGAUGAUACGCGAGGAACCUUACCUGGGCUUAAAUGUAGAGUGCAUAAAGUGGAAACAUUUUUUUCCUUCGGGACUCUUUACAAGGUGCUGCAUGGUUGUCGUCAGCUCGUGCCGUGAGGUGUCGGGUUAAGUCCCAUAACGAGCGCAACCCCUAUCGUUAGUUACCAGCACGUAUCGGUGGGGACUCUAGCGAAACUGCCGGUGUAAACCGUGAGGAAGGUGGGGAUGACGUCAAAUCAGCACGGCCCUUAUGUCCAGGGCUACACACGUGUUACAAUGGUCGGUACAGUGGGCAGCCACAUAGCAAUAUGGAGCUAAUCUCAAAAGCCGAUCUCAGUUCGGAUUGGAGUCUGCAACCCGACUCCAUGAAGGUGGAUUCGCUAGUAUUCGCGCAUCAGCCAUGG
rnacentral:rRNA from 1 species